UACGUAGGGCGCAAGCGUUGUCCGGAAUUAUUGGGCGUAAAGAGCUCGUAGGCGGUCUGUUACGUCUGCUGUGAAAACCCAGGGCUUAACCCUGGGCUUGCAGUGGAUACGGCAGACUAGAGGCAGGUAGGGGAGAAUGGAAUUCCUGGUGUAGCGGUGAAAUGCGCAGAUAUCAGGAGGAACACCGGUGGCGAAGGCGGUUCUCUGGGCCUGUACUGACGCUGAGGAGCGAAAGCGUGGGGAGCGAACAGG
rnacentral:rRNA from 1 species